rnacentral:rRNA from 1 species
UGCCUAGCGCACUUUGUGGCGAAGUUAACGCGAUAAGUCGACCGCCUGGGGAGUACGGCCGCAAGGUUAAAACUCAAAUGAAUUGACGGGGGCCCGCACAAGCGGUGGAGCAUGUGGUUUAAUUCGAUGCAACGCGAAGAACCUUACCUACUCUUGACAUCCUGCGAAUUUGGUAGAGAUACCUUAGUGCCUUCGGGAACGCAGAGACAGGUGCUGCAUGGCUGUCGUCAGCUCGUGUUGUGAAAUGUUGGGUUAAGUCCCGUAACGAGCGCAACCCUUGUCCUUAUUUGCCAGCGCGUAAUGGCGGGAACUCUAAGGAGACUGCCGGUGACAAACCGGAGGAAGGUGGGGACGACGUCAAGUCAUCAUGGCCCUUACGAGUAGGGCUACACACGUGCUACAAUGGUCGGUACAGAGGGUUGCCAACUCGCGAGAGUGAGCCAAUCCCGAAAAGCCGAUCUCAGUCCGGAUCGGAGUCUGCAACUCGACUCCGUGAAGUCGGAAUCGCUAGUAAUCGUGGAUCAGAAUGCCACGGUGAAUACGUUCCCGGGCCUUGUACACACCGCCCGUCACACCAUGGGAGUGGACUGCACCAGAAGUGGUUAGCCUAGCGCAAGAGGGCGAUCACCACGGUGUGGUUCAUGANCUGGGGUGAAGUCGUAACAAGGUAGCCGUA